rnacentral:rRNA from 1 species
UACGGAGGGUGCAAGCGUUGUUCGGAAUCAUUGGGCGUAAAGCGCGUGUAGGCGGCUUGGCAAGUCAGUUGUGAAAGCCCGGGGCCCAACCCCGGAAUUGCAUCUGAAACUGCCUGGCUAGAGUCCCGGAGAGGAAGGCAGAAUUCCCGGUGUAGGGGUGAAAUCCGUAGAUAUCGGGAGGAAUACCGAUGGCGAAGGCAGGUCUCUGGGCUGACACUGACGCUCAUGCACGAAAGCGUGGGGAGCAAACAGG